UAACGUAGACGAAAGUUACGCUAAUACCGCAUAUUCUGUGAGCAGGAAAGCAGGGGAUCGCAAGACCUUGCGCUGAUUGAGCGGCCGAUAUCAGAUUAGCUAGUUGGUGAGGUAAAGGCUCACCAAGGCGACGAUCUGUAGCGGGUCUGAGAGGAUGAUCCGCCACACUGGAACUGAGACACGGUCCAGACUCCUACGGGAGGCAGCAGUGGGGAAUUUUGGAGAAUGGGCGCAAGCCUGAUCCAGCCAUGCCGCGUGAGUGAAGAAGGCCUUCGGGUUGUAAAGCUCUUUCAGCCGGGAAGAAAACGCAUGGGUUAAUACCCUGUGUGGAUGACGGUACCGGAAUAAGAAGCACCGGCUAACUACGUG
rnacentral:rRNA from 1 species